rnacentral:rRNA from 1 species
GACGAACGCUGGCGGCGUGCUUAACACAUGCAAGUCGAACGGAAAGGCCCUGCUUUUGUGGGGUGCUCGAGUGGCGAACGGGUGAGUAACGCGUGAGUAACCUGCCCUUGACUUUGGGAUAACUUCACGACACUGGGGCUAAUACCGGAUAGGAGCUCCUGCUGCAUGGUGGGGGUUGGACAGUUUCGGCGGUUGGGGAUGGACUCGCGGCUUAUCAGCGUGUUGGUGGGGUAGUGGCUGACCAAGGCUUUGACGGGUAGCCGGCCUGAGAGGGUGACCGGCCACAUUGGGACUGAGAUACGGCCCAGACUCCUACGGGAGGCAGCAGUGGGGAAUAGUGCACAAUGGGCGGAAGCCGGAUGCAGCAACGCCGCGUGCGGGAUGACGGCCUUCGGGUUGUAAACCGCUUUCGCCUGUGACGAAGCGUGAGUGACGGUAAUGGGUAAAGAAGCACCGGCUAACUACGUG